ensembl:lncRNA
AUGAUCUCACGGACUGAAGUUAGCACACAUCUAUGGCAGGCAUCUUCAAGAGGUUUGUUGGAAACUAGGCAAGUUGUAGAUGUGGGUGAAACGUCAGGAGAGAAUGCUUCUGGAACAUGGCCAUACAGCCCGGAAAACACACAACCACCCUGUGAUUCCAGCCAUGAAAUCCUUUGGCUGCUUAAAUGUUUUCCCCGCAAUAAAACAACCUUUUUCAUCUUGCGUACACUCUCAUGGCCUUCCACUGGGGCUACAGUAGAGUCUCACUUAUCCAACACUCGCUUAUCCAACGUUCUGGAUUAUCCAACGCAUUUUUGUAGUCAAUGUUUUCAAUACAUUGUGAUAUUUUGGUGCUAACUUCGUAAAUAUAGUAAUUACUACAUAGCAUUACUGUGUAUUGAACUACUUUUUUCAUCAAAUUUGUUGUAUAACAUGAUGUUUUGGUGCUUAAUUUGUAAAAUCAUAACCUAAUUUGAUGUUUAAUUGGCUUUUCCUUAAUCCCUCCUUAUUAUCCAACAUAUUCGCUUAUCCGACGUUCUGCCGGCCCGUUUAUGUUGGAUAAGUGGGACUCUACUGUAUAUAAUUAAUACUCUUAUAUUGUAUUAUUAGUAUUAUAUCGUAUUACAAUAUAAUAUCAUGAAUAAUUAUACGUAUAUACAAUAUGUUAUAAUUAUUAGAACAUUCCCACUUGCCUCCAACAGACAAGAGUUCUUUCUCCCACCCUGCGGAUUCCACAGAUAUAUAAACUUCCCUUCCCUAGCUUCCAACAGACCUCACAAAGUCUAUCAUAGAUGUGGGCGAAACAUCAGGAGAGAAUGCUUCUGGACCAUGGCCAGAAAAACUCACAGUCUGUCCUUCAACAACACAUUUUUAUGACUAUUCCUGGGGCUCAGAAUAAACUGCCCCCCUUUAGCAUCCUUCCGUUAUAUGACUUGAAAAUUCAGAAAAAAAAUAUGCAGAACCAUUCACACAAAACUGAAUUCUUUCAGAGGACAUUGCACUCAACCGCCUUACAAUCUGGAGCCAGAGUUGUGAAAAAUAUUUCUGUUUAACAUUCUUACUCUUUUUUUUUUAAAUUACAUCCAGGCCGCACUGAAAGAUACUACACCUCUCUGCUGCUCUCUGACUCCUGUUCUGCGAUAACCUAUAGUGUCGCCAGGUUCUGUGCGGCAGCAAUUUCCAUCAGACGGACGAUGACUGACCCCACAGGGCCUGUAGCCAGAGCAAUCUGUUAUAACUGAAAUACUGCAAAUGCUCCCUCUAUCCCCCUCCAGAGCCUCUUAGUGGAUCCAUAUUUACUAUUAGCUGACCCUGCUAAUAAUCUGCUUUUAAUUUGUUUUUAUUAUAGCAUGUUUUUAACUUGUUCUUUUAUCUGACUUUUAUGGGAACUGUGAUUCCCCUUUUCGGGCACCUGUGCCCAUUUCCAUAUAUUCUGGUCAUAGACCGUAAUAAAUUACUACUACUACUACUCUUUUUAUUAGAUUUGGGGAGAAGCUGGUUUUCAUCAAGUGAUCUAUCCAUCUCCAGGGAGCUGGAGACAAAUGGAGCAACCAGAUGCAGGACAAUGUGGGCAAUAUGUGGGCCUCCAGCUAUAGCUUCCAUCACCCCAACCACUGACCAUUUUGGUAGCUGGGAGUCCAGUGGCAGCUAGAAGGUUACAUGAUGCCCGAAGGGGAGAAAACAGUGGUUACGAAGGACUGAGACACAGGUGUGUAGGAAAUGACACAACCAUCCUAUUUCAGGUGCCCACCCCAAGACGUCCCACCCCAACCCCCCAAAAUAAUGAGAGGUAGAAGCUUGUUUUCCAAAAUAUUUUCAACCAUGAUACAAACAUCGAUGCCAUACAUCACAUUUCAUGCUUCAAACCAUGUCACAAAACACAAAACCACAAAACAAUUCCAGUCACCAUCGGAGUCCGUUAUCCGAGGACCGUCCACUCCGUUUCACAUCGCUUUCAAACUCCACAGAGAAGACAACGAAAACACCUUUCGG